rnacentral:lncRNA from 1 species
AUGGAUAGUGGUAGCCUCAAAGAAGUCCUGGAGCCUGAGGGAUUUGUGGAGAAGAGGAAAGACACUACAAUGAUUCUCAGAGGAGAAGAUGAAUGGGUCUUUGGUUUUCCAUGGGAUAUGGACCUUGAUGGAGUUGGUCAGAUAUUCCAGAGUCAAGGUACCAAUGAAAUGAAAUGGUUUAAGUAUUAGUCUUGUGUUUUAAAUCUGUUAAUGCAAGAUAAUGAAUAUUUUAUGUUUUAAUUUUUUUGAAAGAGAAACUAAAUAGAUGUCUUAUGCCUCAUCUUUAUAUUUUGAAUACUUUUCUAGAGAGGAUCCCAUGAGCCAAAUCCAAACUUUACAGUAUUUUCCAUGGAGUUCGGGGCUGGGGCAUGAAGAACCAGUCAAUGAAAAGAAGAUGCUGGAUCCUUGUCCUUAGAGACCAGUUUCUCCCAGAAUUGGACCUGGAUCUGCUAAACCCAGAACUGGUGCUCCUUAUUGGGGUGGCAACCCUCCAAAUCAGCAUGCCUUUUACAUAUAAAGGACAGUACUAACAUACCAAUUUCUUAUACCUAGAAUAGCCUGAUGCAGGAGGAAAAU